CACGGAACAUUGAACAUUGAAUACGGAAUCAUAACAGGAAUACACCCCCACCAAUUAAUUCCCUAUACUAGCGACCCGAACUGGCCCUAAUCCUCUGCCGUAAUUCGCAUCUUCCAGACCUUCCUAUCGAGGGUCAUGUCCUCGGUGAGCUAUAACUGUUCCAUGUCCCGCCUAAUCACCUCACCCCAGUACUUCUUCGGUCUACCCCUACCCCGUCUAAAACCAUCCAACGCUAGCCUCUCACACCUACGGACCGGGGCAUCCAUGCCCCUCCUCUUCACGUGUCCGAACCAUCUCAAUCGUGCUUCCCGCAUCUUACACUCCACUGAAGUCACACCAACCUUCUUCCGGAUAGUCUCAUUCCGAACUCUAUCCCCUCGGGUCAGUCCACACAUCCAGCGCAACAUCCGCAUUUCUGCC
rnacentral:lncRNA from 1 species